UGGGGAAUAUUGGACAAUGGGCGAAAGCCUGACGCAGCAACGCCGCGUGAGUGAUGAAGGCUUUCGGGUCGUAAAGCUCUGUCAAGGGGAAAGAAGUGUAUUGUGGCUAAUAUCCACGAUACUUGACGGUACCCCUAAAGGAAGCACCGGCUAACUCCGUGCCAGCAGCCGCGGUAAUACGGGGGGUGCAAGCGUUGUUCGGAAUUAUUGGGCGUAAAGAGCUCGUAGGUGGUUAGUUACGUCGGGUGUGAAAAUCUGGGGCUCAACCCCAGACCUGCACUCGAUACGGGCUAGCUAGAGUUUGGUAGGGGAGACUGGAAUUCCUGGUGUAGCGGUGGAAUGCGCAGAUAUCAGGAGGAACACCAAUGGCGAAGGCAGGUCUCUGGGCCAAUACUGACACUGAGGAGCGAAAGCGCGGGGAGCGAACAGG
rnacentral:rRNA from 1 species